rnacentral:misc_RNA from 1 species
CUCAUACUGAAACCUCCUUUUCCCAACAAUUGCAUCUUCAAUUCCUUCUUUAUCCCCAUACUGCUUCUCAAACGACACAAAUUUCCUAUAUAAAUCCUCAGCCCUCCCUUUGGGUAUAUGGUCCAAUGCAAACUUGUAGAUACACCGAGCACGCUGUGUCUCCUUGCACCUCUCCUCAAACUCUGCAAAAGCCACAAACAACUGCUCCGCCUC